AUUGAACGCUGGCGGCAGGCCUAACACAUGCAAGUCGAACGGUAGCACAGAGAGCUUGCUCUCGGGUGACGAGUGGCGGACGGGUGAGUAACGUCUGGGAAACUGCCCGAUGGAGGGGGAUAACUACUGGAAACGGUAGCUAAUACCGCAUAACGUCGCAAGACCAAAGUGGGGGACCUUCGGGCCUCACACCAUCGGAUGUGCCCAGAUGGGAUUAGCUAGUAGGUGGGGUAAUGGCUCACCUAGGCGACGAUCCCUAGCUGGUCUGAGAGGACGACCAGCCACACUGGAACUGAGACACGGUCCAGACUCCUACGGGAGGCAGCAGUGGGGAAUAUUGCACAAUGGGCGCAAGCCUGAUGCAGCCAUGCCGCGUGUAUGAAGAAGGCCUUCGGGUUGUAAAGUACUUUCAGCGGGGAGGGAGGCGGUGGAGUUAAUAACUUCACCGAUUGACGUUACCCGCAGAAGAAGCACCGGCUAACUCCGUGCCAGCAGCCGCGGUAA
rnacentral:rRNA from 1 species